rnacentral:rRNA from 1 species
GUCUUCUUGAUUAUAUAGGAAGUCUGACCUGCCCGGUGAAUAAGUAUUUAACGGCCGCGGUAUUUUGACCGUGCAAAGGUAGCAUAAUCAUUAGUCUUUUAAUAGAGGGCUGGAAUGAAGGGUUUGACGAAAUGCUUACUGUCUCAUUUAAUUUGGAAUUUGAAUUUGACUUUUUAGUUAAAAGGCUAAAUUGUUAUUGGAAGACGAGAAGACCCUAUAGAGCUUUAUAUUUUAAAAUUUAAGAAGUUUUUGAAUAAUUAUUAUUUUUUAAAUGGAAAAAUAUUUUGUUGGGGUGACAAAAAUAUAUAACAAACUUUUUUAUAAAAAUAACAUUGAUAUAUGAUUAUCAGAUCCAUUAUUAUUGAUUGUUAGAGAAAGUUACCUUAGGGAUAACAGCGUAAUCUUCCUCCAGAGUUCAAAUUUACAGGAAGGCUUGCGACCUCGAUGUUGGAUUAAGAUAAUAAUUAGGUGCAGCUGCUUAAUUAAUAGGUCUGUUCGACCUUUAAUUUCUU